AACUGAAGAGUUUGAUCCUGGCUCAGAUUGAACGCUGGUGGCAUGCUUAACACAUGCAAGUCGAACGGUAACAGGUCUUAGGAUGCUGACGAGUGGCGGACGGGUGAGUAACGCGUAGGAAUCUGCCCAUUUGAGGGGGAUACCAGUUGGAAACGACUGUUAAUACCGCAU
rnacentral:rRNA from 1 species